GACAGAGGGUGCAACCGUUGUUCGGAAUUACUGGGCGUAAAGCGUGCGUAGGUGGUUCGUUAAGUCUGAUGUGAAAGCCCUGGGCUCAACCUGGGAAUGGCAUUGGAUACUGGCGACCUAGAGUGCGGUAGAGGGUGGCGGAAUUCCCGGUGUAGCAGUGAAAUGCGUAGAUAUCGGGAGGAACAUCCGUGGCGAAGGCGGCCACCUGGACCAGCACUGACACUGAGGCACGAAAGCGUGGGGAGCAAACAGG
rnacentral:rRNA from 1 species